rnacentral:rRNA from 1 species
AUUGAACGCUGGCGGCAUGCCUUACACAUGCAAGUCGAACGGCAGCGCGGGAGCAAUCCUGGCGGCGAGUGGCGAACGGGUGAGUAAUACAUCGGAACGUGCCCAAUCGUGGGGGAUAACGCAGCGAAAGCUGUGCUAAUACCGCAUACGAUCUACGGAUGAAAGCAGGGGAUCGCAAGACCUUGCGCGAAUGGAGCGGCCGAUGGCAGAUUAGGUAGUUGGUGAGGUAAAGGCUCACCAAGCUUUCGAUCUGUAGCUGGUCUGAGAGGACGACCAGCCACACUGGGACUGAGACACGGCCCAGACUCCUACGGGAGGCAGCAGUGGGGAAUUUUGGACAAUGGGCGAAAGCCUGAUCCAGCCAUGCCGCGUGCAGGAUGAAGGCCUUCGGGUUGUAAACUGCUUUUGUACGGAACGAAACGGUCUUUUCUAAUAAAGAAGGCUAAUGACGGUACCGUAAGAAUAAGCACCGGCUAACUACGUG